rnacentral:guide_RNA from 1 species
AACAUGCAUAAGAUGUAGUGAAUCUAGUAAGAGUAAGAUAGU